AGCAACACUCCAUCUCAAAAAAUACGUAAAUAAAUAAAAAACAGGAACCCAGGCAAAAGCAGGGACUGUGCUCUUUCUGUUGCUAAUUGUUCCCAUUGAUUUAUAAAGUUUCCUUUGGAGACAAAGUAUCAUCAUAAAUACGCAGUUGUAAAAACAAGCUCUCAAAGCAACUCUCUCCUUCCAGCUUUUGGUCUGGAGAGAGAUGACUCACUGGGGUAAGGGGGGAGAAUUAUCCAGGAAGUGUGACUGCCAGGGUGACUGGCUGCUGUGGACAAGCAAAGUAAUGUCCACAGAUGCCUAGAUGUUAACAAGGUGCCAAAGCCUGCCAUGUCUUUUCAGCCAUUGUGGUUUCCCUUUGAGACAAAGAUCUAAGAGGGAACGAAGGGGGAACUAGAGCAAUGGUUCAGAUUUGGCCGAUGGUUUUUAACUUGGCCUGCCUCUGCCAGAGCUUGAGUGUCCUGAUUCUGAAGUGAUAGAAUAGAUUCCUUCCUGGGAAGAGGGUCUCUGUGUACUUCUGGGGGACUCUGUGAUUCAGAAGCACAGCACAGGCAGAUCUCCCAAAGGGAAUUUCUCCAGCCAGUCUGUCAAACAGCUCUGCUUCUGAGGCCACCACCCAAGCCACAAAGACAUAGCAGCCAGUGAGAGCUUCUGCUGUGAUUGAGAGCCUGGCUAGAAGGCCCAGAGCCCACCUUACAGCCCCUCAGAACAGCCAAGGCACCAUCCAGGCCGUGUGUGUCCGUUCACACCUUUCAGUUGGGAAACAGGGAUCCCUGGACACUCGUCUGGCAAAGGCGAUACUAUUCACAAAUCAUGUCAUGUGUUCACCCCACGCUUCCAGUGUACUUGUCACAGACCAUGGUGAGAAACUGAGCAAAUUCAGAGGUGACAGCCAAGUUUACAUUCCUGUGAAAAAGUGACAUAAUGACAGCCAGAGCCUUUGGAUCCAAACUCCAGCUGAAGGUAGUAUGGGAACCAGGGGCCCUGCUUGGAACUAAAGUCCCCUGACAUUGGCUUUUCAUGAAGGCAGAAGAGUAACACAAAUCUGACAUUUGUGUCAAAAGGACUCUGAGGAGUCUGCUACCCAGUCCUUGUGCACUCGGGUUGUCUGCAGACUCACACAGCAGCACCAAUAGAUUCCAGUAAAUCCCUGCAGAAUUAAACCUGUGAGAAGGUGGCCUUUGAUUAAGGAAGGACCCCAGAGGGCAAUUUCAUACCCUGCAUUUUCCAUUUCCUCCUACAGAGGAAGAGAGGUUGCUAGCAGCACCUCCAUCCAGCCAUGGUGUGGGUACCCACUGGUACUGUCUUGCCUGCCAGCCUACGGAUGGAAUCUUGAAGGUCCUGAGGCAGCAAGUUAGGGAUAGGAAAACACAUCCAUCAUGAAUGUUUGAAGCCAUAUCACAGCCCUCACAUUCAAGUUGACCUCACCAGGCCAUGUGCCAGAGCCAACAAGUGACUGGACUGGACUCUGCAGACCUGAUGGGAAAUCUCCAGGGAGGGGAAGUGCCAGAUCCCCUGGCUAGGGAUGGGGUGCUGAAGUCUGCAGGAGAGGGCCAGGAGCAGAGCCCGGGGUUGGGGCUGAGACCCCAAGCACCUACAUGAGUGCAGAAGUCUUUGAUGUCCAUCUCCUCAUCAAUGAAGUGCCGGAAGAAGUCUGCUCGGUUCUUGAUGAAGGCUGACGUGAGCAGGCGCAGGAAUUGCACGAUGCGGUCCGAGGUGCUCUGGUCGUUGAACAUCUUCAGCAGGCUGGACACCGAGCCGUCCUUCUCUACCAGUUCCACCACGCUGUAAAACUACAUCCACCCGGCCCUCAGCCAGGGAGGCCCAAGCAAGCCCUGGCCCUCCAUCCGCGCUCUCCCUCAGCAUCCUCCCUCCCCACGAAGCACUCAUGAGCAUUUUCAUUUGUAGAUUCUCAGGCUGAGAUCGAAAAUCAGUCUGAGAUUCUGCCUAAGCUAAGUAACCCAGGGUUAGCUAGACUUGGUAGUUUGUACACUAGCCCAGAGGCACAUCUAGGGAGCAGCAGUUGGGUCUCCCCCCAUCACUACCUGGGUUUGGAUUCUCAGGUGCACACUGGGCAAGGAUCCCCUUCACUAAUUGGAUGGGGAGGCAUGGGGUAGAGAUGGCACAGGGUGAAGGAUGUGCCUUCUCCCAGAGGGAGGGCAGGGCCUUGGGCUCCCUGUGCCCACCCCCCUCCGCAAGCAGGAAGCAGCCCUCUGCUCCUCCUUCCCCAGCCAGGAGGAGCAGAGUCGUGGGUUGUUCCGGGGCUCCAGUGCCCGUUCCUGUCUGCUCUGCCACAUGUGGAAGGAGGGACCAGGUGAACUCACAGCAUUAAAGAAGUUUCUGAACUUGUGCUCCUCAAAGCCAGCAGCCAGAAGGUCAUUUGGAGUCUGCAGUACACGUUCUUUGAACCUGCAGGGGGUUAGACUGGGUGCUUACAGGGAAACAGCAAGUGUGCUGUGAUUGGCAACUGUGCGUCCCCCUCUCAACCCACUGCACCCACCAACCUCAGCUCUCAACCGCAGAACUUCCCGCCCUACCCCCGACACACAGCCAUGCCCUGUGAACGUCACCCCGCACUGCCAGGCCCCGGUGACAGGUGCGUUGUGUGUGCAUGGUAGAAAAACAAUACGGACUAGGGCGUGUGUGUUUCUGCAUCUGCUCCAACUUCCUACUCAGUGACCUCAUGAGGGCAGCUUGACUCACUAAUGACAGUAUUGAAUACUGACACCACAGCAAUCGGCUGACGACACAUACCAGGCCUCUCGCAUGCCCAGAGCUGGCUGUCAAGCAUCUGCCAGGUCCCCCUUGGGGACCUGCUCCACGGGCCCUUGCUCUGUGCAUACUGGGUGGUUCAUCUCUGCACCCGCUGCAGGUGCCCCCCUGGGCGCAGCCCUUUUCUGGGACCUGUCCUGGUGCCCUCGGGGGGCAUGGCAAGAAACCCAGGCCUGGCCCUGGCUUCAGGACACUACAAGUUUAGUGACAGCAAUGAGGUAUGGAAGAAGGGCUGCCUCCCACAAAGACCAGGUGAGUGGCCCUGGGUGACCGGCUGGCGGGCGCAGAACACUAAGGCCACACCAAGUUCUCCAGCCCUGCACCCAUUCCCUGGGCAGGGGGACCAGGCUCUGACAGGACCCAAGAGGCAGAGGUUUCACAAGGGAAUACAGAAGCCUGGGCCACCUCAGAAGCUGCUGUGCUCCUGGAAGGCCUGGUGCCUUGUAGGAGGAUGGGGAGGUGAGCAGGGAGGAGAAGGUAGUGUGUGUGGACAGGAAGCAGGUCUGCUAAUUCAGAAGGAGUGUUUUUGCCUAGAGGCCGCCUGCCCCUGGCUGGUCCCGGCAUAUCUGAGUCCUGCCUGGGCCAGGACUAAAUUCUCCUAUUGCAGGCUGAGGUGCCUGAACUGGAGGGAAGGAGCCUGGGCUGACUUCUAGCUGCAGUCCCCUCCAGACCUGUCAAGUCCCCCUGUGGCUUCUGGCCACAGGCUCCCCUUUGGCGCAAAUGUGGAUGGCGAUGAUGCCUCGACGGCGCGGGUGCUGAGGGUGAACAGAGGGCUUCCCAAAAGGAGGAGGCGUCUGCUGUGGCAGGACAUGCUAGGUUUCCCCUCUGGACCAGGGCAAGGGUCUGAAGAUCGGUGCUGGCUGACGCCUCUCGCUCAGGAGCCACCUUCAUCAUCGCCCCCUGUUCCGUCUUCAGCAGCCGCAGCCUAGGUGGCCCAUAGCCAGGGCACUGGAAGCAGCUCCAGGAAGCAGCCAGCUGCAGUCCACCAGGGUCGCUCCAAGGGCCCGCACCCUCUUCUGGUCACUCUGUCCCUGCAUGGCCAUGAAGUGCACUGCUCUGCUCCCAGCUCUCCUGUCCCCACUCCCACCCCAAACCUCUGCCUCAUUCCACAUUCAUUCCUUGCCAGUGACUUGCGGGCCCCUCUGUGCCAGGCACGGGAUGCCGAGAUAAGCAGCGCGUAGGCCCUGUCAGAAGAGGGCAAGCCCCCAGGCCAGGACAUGCACCCUCUGGAGGUAAGGCAGGGAUGAGGGGAAGGACGGCACUGGGGCUCAGAGGGCAAGUUCAGACAGGCCAGGGCUACACACAAGCCUAUGUGGGACUUCUGCCAAGUCAUUUGACCUCUACAAGGCUCCUCUGGCUCAUCUGUAAGACUGGGUAAUAACAGUGGCUCCCCUCAGGAGGAGCAUGUUCUCCAAGCCCCUGGCACACAGAAGUACUUUGCAUACUUCUGGAGCAAGGAUGCGAGCUCCAGGGCUGGGGCAAGCAAGCAUACCACUGCAACACGCCUGCCCCAGCCCUGCAGCAGCACUGCGCAGAGAACGGGUGUCUGCCUGGGUGGCUCUGGGCUCACUGCACACACGGAGACAGUGGGGUGGGUUGUGGAGGAUGCGUGACGCCGACGGUAAGAGCUAGCAUGGGACACGUCAGUCAUUGCUGCAAGCACUCACGAGUCAAUCACUUAAUGCCCAGGACAGGGCUAUGGCCACCGUUCAACCAGGCAAAGGAGCUACAGAGUGAAGCGACCUGUCUGGGGCCGAGGAAUCCACAGCCGGGUCAGAAGCAGAGCUUCCUGGGCCCAGAGCAGCGUCAGGCAGCAUGUCAGGCAUCCACACAUCUAGUGCGUGUAGGAUAAGUGGGUCCCUGU